GAUGAACGCUAGCUACAGGCUUAACACAUGCAAGUCGAGGGGAAACGGCAUUGAGUGCUUGCACUCUUUGGACGUCGACCGGCGCACGGGUGAGUAACGCGUAUCCAACCUUCCCAUUACUGUGGGAUAACCUGCCGAAAGGCAGACUAAUACCGCAUAGUCUUCGAUGACGGCAUCAGAUUUGAAGUAAAGAUUUAUCGGUAAUGGAUGGGGAUGCGUCUGAUUAGCUUGUUGGCGGGGUAACGGCCCACCAAGGCUACGAUCAGUAGGGGUUCUGAGAGGAAGGUCCCCCACAUUGGGACUGAGACACGGUCCAAACUCCUACGGGAGGCAGCAGUGAGGAAUAUUGGUCAAUGGACGGAAGUCUGAACCAGCCAAGUAGCGUGCAGGAUGACGGCCCUAUGGGUUGUAAACUGCUUUUGUAUGGGGAUAAAGUUAGGGACGUGUCCCUAUUUGCAGGUACCAUACGAAUAAGGACCGGCUAAUUCCGUGCCAGCAGCCGCGGUAAUACGGAAGGUCCAGGCGUUAUCCGGAUUUAUUGGGUUUAAAGGGAGCGUAGGCUGGAGAUUAAGUGUGUUGUGAAAUGUAGACGCUCAACGUCUGAAUUGCAGCGCAUACUGGUUUCCUUGAGUACGCACAACGUUGGCGGAAUUCGUCGUGUAGCGGUGAAAUGCUUAGAUAUGACGAAGAACUCCGAUUGCGAAGGCAGCUGACGGGAGCGCAACUGACGCUUAAGCUCGAAGGUGCGGGUAUCAAACAGG
rnacentral:rRNA from 1 species